AUUGAACGCUGGCGGCAGGCCUAACACAUGCAAGUCGAGCGAGCGGCGGACGGGUGUGUAAUGUCUGGGAAACUGCUUGACGGCGGGGAAUAACUACUGGAAACGGUAGCUCAUACUGCAUACCAUCAGUUGUUCCCAGAUGGGUUUAGCUAGUAGGUGGGGUAACGGCUCACCUAGGCGACGAUCCCUAGCUGGUCUGAGAGGAUGACCAGACACACGGGAACUGAGACACGGCCCAGACUCGUACGGGGGGGAGCAGUGGGGAAUAUUGCAAAAGGGGCGCGGGCCUGAUGAAGCCAGGCCGAGUGUGGGAAGAGGGCCUUCGGGUUGUAAAGCACUUUCAGCGGGGGGGCGUUACCAGCAGAAGAUGCACCGGCUAACUCCGUGCAAGCAGCCGCGGUAAUAC
rnacentral:rRNA from 1 species